AUACCGGCUGCUCGAGUGAUGGCCACUAUUACUGGGUUUAAAGCGUCCGUAGCUUGACUGUUAGGUCUCUUGGGAAAUCUUUUGGCUUAACCAAAAGGCGUCUAAGAGAUACCGGCAUUCUUGGAACUGGGAGAGGUAAGCCGUACUUCGGGGGUAGGAGUGAAAUCUUGUAAUCCUCGAGGGACGACCUAUGGCGAAGGCAGCUUACCAGAACAGCUUCGACAGUGAGGGACGAAAGCUGGGGGAGCAAACGGGAUUAGAUACCCCGGUAGUCCCAGCCGUAAACAAUGUGCGUUAGGUGUGUCGGUUCCACGCGUAACUGAUGCGCCGAAGAGAAAUCGUGAAACGCACCACCUGGGAAGUACGGUCGCAAGGCUGAAACUUAAAUGAAUUGGCGGGG
rnacentral:rRNA from 1 species